rnacentral:rRNA from 1 species
GUCCUAGCCGUAAACGGUGCAUAUUUGCUGUAAAAGGAAUCGACCCCUUUUGUGGCGUAGCCAACGCGUUAAAUAUGCCGCCUGGGAAGUACGGUCGCAAGAUUAAAACUCAAAGAAAUUGACGGGGGCCUGCACAAGCGGUGGAGUAUGUGGCUUAAUUCGAUGCAACGCGAAGAACCUUACCUGGCCUUGACAUGUAUCUAGUAGAAGGAUGAAAGUCUGACGAGGUAGCAAUACCAGGAUACACAGGUGCUGCAUGGCUGUCGU